CGCCCGUCGCUCCUACCGAUUGGGUAUGCUGGUGAAGUGUUCGGAUUGGCGACCGGGGGCGGUUUCCGCCCUCGGCCGCCGAGAAGUUCAUUAAACCCUCUCACCUAGAGGAAGGAGAAGUCGUAACAAGGUUUCC
rnacentral:rRNA from 1 species